rnacentral:sRNA from 1 species
UUAAUUUAAUUUAAUUUACGCUGUAUAUUAUUUCUUAUUUUAUUAUAUAUAAUAUUAAAUAUUGCUAAUUUAUAUUGUUAUUAAUAAAAAAUGCAAUUCUUUAUUUCUAAUUAGAUAAAUUUGACGUAGACGUUUAUUAUUAUAUAAAACCCAGUUAUUAGUAUUUUGGUUCUUAUAAAAUUAAAACUGGUAAAAAUAUAGGCCCAUUUUAAUUUUAGAUUUGGAUAUCUUAACACUUAUACUUUUAUUAAUAAAAUAACCAAUGUUUAAUAAUUUGCAAGAUGGAUUUAAUGUUAGCGUUUGUUAUUAUUUACAAUCAAUUUCUUAAAAGUUUGGUUUUAAUAUUGUUAAAACUGGUAAAAACAAACCUGUUUUAAUUGCAAAUUUUACUAAAUUUUUAUUUGUUUUACCUAUGUGGUUUUAAAUACGUUAUAUUACGUAAUACUAAUCCAAUAAUAUAUAAAUAUAAAAUUUAUAUAUAUAUUAUCCUCCAUAUUUGAAAUUCUUUUCAAUUUUAAUAAAAAACAAACUAAUAAUGAAAUAAAAUCGAAAAUUAAAUAUUUUCACAAAGUUUACAUUCCGAUUAAUAAAUUUAAUUUAUUUGUAUGUUAAAAUUCACCAACUCGCAUAUUAAAGCUGAAAUUAAUUUGUUGUUAGAAAUUUAGCUAAUUAAUAUAUCCAGCGUGCAAACCGUAUAUUUUUACUAUUUUUAUUUAAUUCAUUUUAAAAGAGUGAUAUUUUUGUUUAAUUAUUUAAUAUAUGGUACUACCGCCACGAACGACGAAAAACAACAAAUAACCUUAAGUUUAAACCAAAGCGACUUUUGCGUGGACCCACAAAUAUAUUGCAAAACUGCAAUUAAAUUAUAAGUUUAAUUGCAAAAUUAGGGUUUCAGGGAUAAACCCUGAAGUUAGCACUGGAAGGGGUUUUUCCUCUUUGUACCAAACGUUAAUAUAAUAUUUCACGGGUUUUGCAAAUUAUAAAUUAAAAUGCGGAUAGGUUAAAUUUGCAAUAUUUUAUAUCCGAUUUUAUAUUCGGAAAUUCGAUUAUAAAUUUUAUAGCAGCCAAAAUUAUUAAUUACAAGGGUAAAAAUUAUUUUAAAAAUGGAAAGAAAUGGUAAAAAGGGCGUUAAAAAAAUAACGGGCAGGGUAGGGUAAUAUUUCCAAAUUACAAUAAGGAAGAAAAUUUAAUUCUAAUGGUUUUGCAAGAAAUAUUAAAAUUUCCAAUUUUAAUUAAUUAAACGUUGAAAUUUCCACGAUGUUAGCAAAUUUUAAACUAUUUACCGGUUUGAUUUUAAAUAAUAUUAACGUAAACGUAAUAUAUAACGGCUUGGAAGAGUCGAGCGAUUCGGGUGGUAAUAUAUCGUACCGGAUAUUAUAAUAAAAAAUUAAUUCCAUUAUUAGCGGGAUUAUAAAAUUAUAUUUGGAAUCGGAUUCGGAGCCCGAUUAUAUUGGUAAAACGUUAAAACUCCAGUUUUUAGCGAUUAAUUUUAAAAAUAAAAUAAAAUUUGGAAACGGCGUAAAUAAAAAUUUAAAACCCCGGAAAUUAAAUUACCCGGUUUAUUAUAAGGUAAAUCCACGGUUAUAUAACGGUCAAAUACCCGAAAGGAAUUAUUAUUAUUAUUAAAUAGAAAAAGAAAACAAACAAAGGAAAACAUCUUGGCAAUUCUUUUUUCAAAUAUAACGUGGAUUAUUACGUGGUCCCCGCUUUUAUUUAUUGGCACAAAUAUGUGUAAUUAAUACGAAUUUAUAAUAUAACCUAUUCCUCCCGGUCCGGAAAUUGUAUAACCCGUAUUUUCCCCGCCCCGAAACCCUAAUUCCUACCCUAUUAUUUUAUUCCCCCCGACGAAACCCUAUUUGGCGGUUUUGAAAUCGCGGAAAAAAAUUGUAUAAAUCGCCCUAUUAUUUUCCUGGAAUUGUAAUAUAAUUUUUACGGUAACGUGAUUACGUUUGCGUAUUUGUUUUAAUUUUGUAAUCACGUAUUGCCGGUUUGGAAACAAUUUUGUAUUUUUUACGCGUCGUGGCCAACGUAAUUAUUAUAUAUUACCGGACAGUAUUAUUUUAGUCGCGUUCGUCGUUUAUUUUUCGGGUUAAAAAUAUAUUAUUUUAUCGGACUUUUCUUUAUUCAAUUUUCCACAUUUUUAUUAUUUUUUUAUUUUUUUUUAUUUCGCCUUUUUUGUUUUCGCCUCGUUUUUGUUAUAUUUUUAUUAUAUUUGUAAUCCGUUAUUACCCUGUUUUAAUUUGCCCCGUUACGCUAUUUUCCUGUUUAGAAAUUUACCGCGGACCGGUAAAAAAACCCUGCUUUUUAUAUUUCUUUCGCAUUUGUUUUUUUUUUCACACAAAACUUUUUUUUUUAUAAUCUCGUUUCUAUUUAUUUAUAUAAUUUCUUUUUUUUAUUUUCGCCGCGCUUUGAUUUCUUUUUAAUUAUAUUUCUGCGCCCCAGUUUUGUUUAUUUUUCGCCUGGUUUUCUUUAUUAUUAUAUUUUCGUUUAAUUUUAACGGUAAUUUAUUAAAUCCGGUCGAAACGUUUUUUUGCCCCCGCCGUUAUUAAUAUUAGUCAAUUUCGGUUUUUUAAUUCUUAUAAUACCUUUAUUAUUAACAAAGAAUAGUGUUAAAAUUUUUGCGGCAAAUUAGUCCGACGUUUCCCGGCACGCGUUUUUUUAUUAACGGUUGUUAUAAUAUAUCCGUCGUACCGCCAGUUCGAAUAAAUUUAAAAAUAAUCCCGACGACGAAAAGUAUACCACGUUUAAAUAAUAUUUUCCUUUUAUCUUUUAUUUAAUUUUGCCAAAAUUAUUGAUAUUUUAAAUGGUUGCCCCAAUUUGGACGAAAUAAUUUACAGUCGGUAUAAUAAAAAUAUAAAAACGUUUUACAAUUAUAAUGAAAAAUUUAAUAUCCGGCAUUUUAUUUUAAAUUAUCGGUUAAAUAACGUAUAUUAUAUUAUAGUCGACGGAUAUGUCAUUACUACCCCAAAAACACUAAUAAUAUAUAACGUUAAUAAUUAAAUUAUUACGACGGAAUAUAAUAUUAAAAUAACUUUCGAAUUCCGCCUUAUUUAUAUAUUAAUUUGCGUAAAUAUCGUCGGUUCCGGAACAAAUUCUUUUGACGUUAUUUUAAAUUUUGGCGGUUCCAACGUUUUAUUAUUAAUAUAUUAUAACGGCGGUAAUAAAACCGCCUAAUAAUUUCUUCUCGGUUUUGCCCAAAAUUUGAAAUAUAUAAAAAUAAAAUAUUAAUUUUUUAAAUCUGUAAUUUGGAUAAAUAUUAAUCGGUGUUAUUAAAAACGCAAUAACAAAUAUUAUUUUUAAUUAUUAGAGACGUAACGCGGAUCUAUUAUUAUUUAACGCGAAAUUAACACCAUUUUUUCUACUUUCGCUAUUUUCAUUUAUACGCGUCCCGAAUUCCGCCUAAUAUAAUAUUUAUUUACGUUUUUUAAAUAUUAUUUGGCCGUUUAUAAGCUUUUUAUUAUAAUUUUAUUAAAUUUAAAUAUGUUAUUUUUAAAAACGCUUAUAUUUUUACACCACGGUACCGGUUUUAAUUUUAUAAACGUUUUAACUAAUUGCGUUACAGUUUCUUUGCGUUUUUUUACCCCCGUUACCCAAACGUUUGUCCUAAAACCCGGUUAUUUUCAUUUUUAUCAUUUUUCGCCAAAAUACGCACGGCUGUUCCUAAUAAACUUUCGUUAUAUAAUCCGCUAUUAUUUCGUAUAAUACCGUUUAAUACGCCGCCCCUAAUAUAAUACCGUCUAAUAGUCCGCCACCGCGUUUUUGCGUUUUACCGCCGCCUUUUAGUAUUUUACCGCCGCGCCCUAAUAUUCUAUUUAAUAUAAAAAUGAAUUUAAAUGUUUAAAAUAUUUGGAAUAUUAUAAAUUAAAUAUGUAAUAAUAUAAAUGAUAAUUAUUUAUUGCCGGUUAUAACCGCCCCUUUGUUUAGUUUUAUUUUUUACCCUUUUAUAUUUAUAUUUAAACCCCGUUAAUAUACAGGGGUUUAUUUAUUUAUAUUUUAAUUUCUUUUUAAUUAUAUUUUUUUCCGCGAAUUUUAACCGGUUUUAAAUUUAUAUUUAUUUAUCAUAUUUAAUUGCGCGUAAUUAUUCCCUUUAUUAAUUCCGAUAUCGAAAUAUAUAAAUAUAAAAUAUAUAAUAAUUUGUAUUAUAUUGCCGCGAAUUCGCGCAAAUAAUCCCUUUUUUCCGCAAUUGCGGGGGUUUUUGGAGCGUUAAUUAUAACGGGUCGGCGUCGUUUGGAAAUCGAUCCAUUAUUAAUACGAAUAUUUCCCUAACAAAUUUCGAACGGGUUUAAAAUAUCAAUAUCCGUUAUAAAUUUCAACGGUGUUUACGUAAAUUUAUUAAAACUUUACCAUUUUACUAAUAUUUGGCGGUUGUUUUCUUUGCGGUCUUUUGCAGUUAAAAUUGUUUUUAUAACCCAAAUUCUUUUAAAUUCGUCGUUUUUUAUCGGUUAAAACUCAGGGCCGGAUUGUAAAUCGGUCCGAGCUUGAAAGAAUAACGGGUUGCUAACAGUCCGUUUUAUUAAUUUUAUAUAAAAAAUAAAUUAAGCUUUCUAUAAAAUUUUUAAUAUAAUUCUAAACGGAACGGUUACCGUUAUUACGCAGUAUAUUUUAUAAAUAUAAUCGAAUUCUUAUACGGGCGGUUUAUAUAUAUAUUUUAUAAAUUAAAAAAAUAUUUUGUCCCUAAUUUGGAAACGUUUGGCCGGGCGCCAUAAUUUACUCGGUCCGGUCUUUUAACUUUAUUAAGUAUAUUUAAUAAAAGUUUGGACCAAUUCGAACUUUUCCCGUAAAUAUUUUAAGAAUCGCGUCAUUUUAAUUUUGGAAUUUCAAACUGGGAUUUUGGAAAAGAAAACAACGUUUGGUAUUAUUUUAACGUUAAACUUUAAUAAUAACUUACUUAAUAUUACUUUUGUUACGGACAAAUUUGGUUGUUAAAACCAACAAUAUAAUUUCCAAAUAAUAAAAUUAAUUUCUUUAACCGAAAAUUAUAUAAAUUUUUGAAUAUUACUAAAUUUCCUAAUUGGUCCGUUCCGUACCCCCAUCAGUUUCGGGGUAAUGAAAAAUGGGAAAUAAUUAUUUUACGCCCGUUUAUUAUUACGUAUUUGCCCGAUAAUAUAAUAAAUAUAAUAAUGAAUUUAAAAAAUCCUGUAAUAUUUACAUUUAGCAAACACUUCGUCGGUCCCAGUUAUAAGGUUGUGUUACGCGCACGUAAUAUUUACUUAUAUGAUUUUAUUUUAAAAUAUCCUACCCAAUUAAAGUUUUAAUUAAAAUUAAUUUAUUUGGGAAAUCUUUGGAAAGGUUAUUAAAAAAAUAAAAAUCAUACCGCAUAAUUUUCCGUUUUUAUUAAGUACAUUAUUUCCUAUUAUGUAUAUUUAAAAAUAUAUUUAUAAUAAUUAUUAAAUAUCUAAAAAUUGUUUCCACGUUCCCAAAUAAAUUAGAAGUAGCGGUCCGGAAGUGGGCAGGGCCCUGAAGUGGUUAUUUUUCUUUUGCUUUUUUGACAUUUAUAACAAUUUAACCGAAUACUCGAUACAGACCAAAUCUAAUACGUAUAUAAAACCAAGCAACCACUUUUUAAUAAUGUAAAAUAUAUAUCUGUAACGCUAAUAAUGAUCGAGAUAUUAAGAAUAUUAUACAUCUGCUAUUUUUAUUGUUUAAAAUUCGAAUUAAAGUGCGAUAAAUAGAAGGUAAAACUUGUUAAAUACAUUAAGUUUCAGAUAAUAUUUGGGAUUUCAAUUUCGGCUGGUAGUAUAUUCGGUUAAUUCUAUACGAUUUUUUGAAACAAAAACCCUAAAAACGCAUAUUAAAUCAAGAUUUAAUAUAUAAAAGAGCAAAAGAAAAAUAACCACUUCAGGGCCCUGUCCACUUGUGGGUCAACUACUCUAAUUAUAAAGUCGAUUAAUAUUUAUUUUUAAAAUUUAUACGGGAUAAAUAAUAGUUAGAGAGAUUUCCGGCGCGUCUGGCGCGAACAUUUAAUUUGUUAAUAUAUAUUAUAAUUAUAUAAAAAAUAUUUUAUUUAUUUUAUUAUACUGUUGCAGUAACAAUUUUAAAUAAAUAUA